CAGCCGGCCCUCUUUCUCCCUCUCCGGGCUAACCUCAUCAAGCCACCCUCGUGGUUGUGUGUCACCACGCACACGCGCACAAAGCACCUCACCGUGCGCGCGGUAAUGGCGCGGAACGCGCGAGUACAUGGUCCACGCUCGCUCUAGUCGUGAAAGUCUGCCCUGACAGACGGUAAUCGUGAACCACGUGCCCCUGCUGUGGCGCCAUAUGGAGAUGGAGGGUGCAGCCCACGGCAGUGGAUGGGAAGGCGCAGAAGUAAGCUGAAACAGAAGAAAUGGAUCAUGAGUAGAGAAGGGUGGAGAGCGUGGAGCGGCGGACAGCAGAGAGCUUCAAUGUCUUUCCUUCUCAUGGAAAUUCAACAGAGUACUUGCGAGCUUCUGCCGCGGAAGAUCACGGUUGUUUUGCGAGGGCGUAUUUUUCCCCCUUUUCGCGAUCACGUCUCGUGUUGUUUUCCGUUUACAGCCCAUCUCAUUUUGGAAAACGUGUCUGAAGCAUGCAAAGUGCCCCGGAAGGGGGAGAGAGUGGAGGUGAGGCGGUUCUUCAGCGUGCGCCUCUGCUGAUCUCGCCCGGUGUGCACUUGUCUGGUUUUUUCCUGUGUUUUUUUUUCUACUUCAUGCUUCCGGAUCGCCCCCCCCUGAUGAGGAGGGACAUCUCCGUGUGUCGUAUCCUCAGGGUUCCCAGUGGUGCACGGACUCUGCGGGGGAAGAGAACUCAGGCAGCCUCCCCCGCCCCUAUGUAUCCCCUGCCGAUCCCAAGCCACGUCUGGUGUUGACAGGGUCCAAGUGCCGGCGGCGUAGGGAGGCCGGAGCGAUGUAUUGCUGCUGAUGUCGGCGGCCAGGUGAUGGACAGUGUUCUGCUGGAGCGAGCGGCGACCGUGCACACGCUUGUGCCACCCACAUGAUGGGCAGAGUGUCAGCCUGGCUCGAGCGCAACCUAUCACCCGGAGCCCCUCGCACUGGCCUACUGAUGUGUGUGUGUGUGUGUGUGGGAGGGCGGGAGGCCUGAGGCGCGUGGGGUGGGUGGAGUUUAAUGCCGGGGCCGUGCUCGCAGAUGACUGCGUCGCCGCAUUGCUGUACGUUGCGCGUGUCUAGCGCUGCUUUGGACCAGGCGCAUGGGGCCCGUGACGGGGCCGGUGGGGCAGAAUGGCGUUGAGCCUCAUGCCCUAUUACAGAAAAUAGACACAGUGAGAGACAGAAAGAAAACUUAUUUCUUGCGUGCAGCUUCACAGACCGGUGAGCUGUGUCUGUGUACCGCCGUGAGAUUCAUACGCUGCUCGUCUGUGUUCGGCCCAGCGUUUUGAAUUUUUCUGCUGCAUGGUCUUUUCUUAUCCUAUAAGACGUACUCUUUUUCCUACUUUUUUCCUCACGCACGUACUCAGUAGCGUAGACAUGGGCUUGCAGAUGCCAUUUUGAUUGCGUACACUAACUUCCCCGAGCGUGCGGAUCGACGUUUGGCGAGAGAGAGAAAGAGAUGUGAGCGUGCAAUGUGCGGUAUUUGCGAGGAGGGAGCGAGAGAAAGAGUGACCGGGCCCCGCUUUAGGACACGUUUCGAAGUCCUAGUGUUGUUCAGAGGAAACAGAAAUGGGAAGUGAAAAAAAAAAACGAAAACAUCGAACGCCGGCAGCGGUCAUGAUACGUGUGCGCGCCCACACGCGCAUAUGCGUGCAACAAAAUAUGCAUCCGCGAUAUGCGACAUGAUGAGUGAGCCUCUCAAUGGAGAGAGAAGGACCCUGUUGGCCCAAGUAAGCUGGUGAGGCUGCUCACUGCACGUCCGCUCUCGCUUCCACUGCGCUUCGCUUUCUCUUGCUAUGGCCCCCUCUGUGUUUGCGAUUGUAUUCCUGCGCGCGUUUUGUUUUUGUUUUCCUUCACCCGCGCCUGCGCUUGGUGGCGAUGCCCUCAAACGGUUGCUGUAUGCUGGCUGAAAG
rnacentral:misc_RNA from 1 species